UCCGUGGCUGACCAGGCAGCACCGGGGAGCCGCGGCCUCCCGGAGGCCGGAGCGGGCUCGCCCUGUGCCUCGCCUGCCCCCCGCAUCAUCCGCGGGGUUGGGGUUUGGGAGCUCGGGUGUAGAUGUACUGGCUGUGAGUGGUACCUCCCCCGGCAGGCCACGGGAAAUUAAGUGGGAUUUUUGUCCCUGGCUUGUUUGGGGUGCCUUGAUUUUGCAGCCCACUUUUUUUUGCAGGGGGCGUGGGGUCCCAGGAAACACCCUGAAGCAUGGUCGGGUGCCAGAGUCCAACCCGGCCACACUCCCAGAGAACCUUUGCCUGCCACAGUUAGUCUACAAGCAACAUCAAACAAACAAUCUGAAAUAGAAAAACAGCCAUAAUCACGUUUCCAGCCAACACUGCUGACCCAUGAUACAGGAAAAAUGCAGAGGAUUAGGAACGCUUUCCCUGGUUGCUCAGGCAACAGCAAGACAUGGGAAUAUGAAAAGCAGCACUGGGAGUUGUGCAAUACCUCUGGGACCUGCUCUGCUCCAGGGAACACUGACAAAAAAAGAGGAAAAACAACUGGACAGUUCUGUGAGAUUUGAGCCAGCAGGAUCCCCCAGCUCAUCACCAGGGAGUCACAUGCUGGGGCAGGGCUGCUCACCUGUGUGGUUGUAAUGCAUCCAGUUCAGGAUGACUUCUGGGGCUCUGUACCACCGUGUGACCACGUAGCCAGUCAUCUCAGCAUCAGCCUGUCUGGCCAAGCCAAAAUCCAAGAUCUGCAGUGCCAAAAGAAGAAUAAGGAGAAGGGAAGGUAGGAGAUAAAAGAGAAAUCCUAUGGGCAAGUGAGACUCUACUUCUAAGAGAAAAUGGAGUAGCUCCAAUCAGAUAAUAACAAAGCUAAACCACAGACACCCAUGGGAUGGUUCAAAGAAUUAAUAUGUCUUAAUUCCACUGUAAAUUGCAAGCCAGCUGCAAAACCUGUUGUCAUGAGAAGACCCUGCUAAAGGAUCAGUGCUUUGUGCUCCCUGGAUGGUCUCUGCCUUUCUUGAACUUAAGUUUUGAGUCAGUGUGCUUUAUUGGAGUUGGUCUGUGACCUGGUGGUGAAGGUGUGCUCCCAGGUCACUACAGCUCACCCUUUCCUAUAAGAGCACCUUGCAGGUGACACAGCAUGGCCUCUCCCUCAAUGCUGCAGAUGAACAAGCUUGACCCAAUCUUUAUGGGCAGCAGAGCCACUCCCUGAAAUAUACAUUACAGAAAAUGCAUGCUAGAGCGCCACACCAGCCAGCAGCAAGCAAACCCUUCAGAGCAAUCCUGAAAAUGACUUUGUCUGGAAUCACAACCACAAUGUCCAUAAGAACCAAAGGGCAACUGCAGCUGAAUCCAGUUACCCUUCAGGGAUCAUUCACCUGCUCAAGCAUUGCUCAGCAGUGCUGAAUUUCUCUAGGAAGUCAUUACACAUUGCUAUCCGUGGGGAUUACAGUGACAGAAGGCUCAUUUGAGGUCUUGUGUCCUGAUUCAGCAAGUGACAUCAGCAGGGGAGUAUUUCCCACUGCUGCAGCCGCCAAGGAACACAACGCCUGGAAUGGUGGCUCAGGGGGAAGGAGGAAACAUGACAGUGCCAAUUUCCUGCUGGCAGAGCAGUUCCUCCAGGAGCUGAUGUGCUGCAAAGUGCUGCUUUGCCACCUACCUUCAGCUGGCAGUCUUCAUUCACAGCCAGGUUACUUGGCUUUAGGUCCUACAACAGACAGGAGCAGAAAAAUUGGAUGAUUCAAGCUGCAAUGCAUCAACACAAUUCUCAGUUGAACCUCUGCUUGCCUUUGAUGGGGUCGCAUAACACCCCAGGUUCAGUAUCAAUGCAGCAAAUGACUGAAUAAACACCAUGCCUGCUAUACUGAACAGCAUUAGAUUACUAUUUUAUUCUUUUCUGAAACCGUUUUAAUUCAAAAAGCAUCAUAAAAUGCUUCUCAGCUCAUUAGAAGACACAGCAUUUUCUCAAAAUGCCACACAAAUUAGCAAAUCCAAACAUAUAUGGGAUGUAGGAUGGAAAAUAGAGCAGACAGGAUGGAAAAUAGAGCAGACAAUGCUAUUAGUGAAAUGAUGGCUAGGAAUUUAUUAACUUUAUGACUAUACUGUGUUUCUCAGACAAAAAUCAGAAUAAGAACACACAUGAACUUACCCUGUGGACAAUGCCAGCUGAAUGAAUAUACUGCAAUAAAAAGAGGAGCCACAAUGUGAUCACCAGCAGACAAAAUUUUCUGUUCUCCAGCAGAGAAAUGAGAGCUAUAAACAAGAACUUGCUGAGAACAAACUUCUGCAGCCUUCUACAGGUCCCUGGUCCCUAGGGAAGCAGUUUGAAAGAGAAAUUUCUGCCCCAAAUUACUGUCAGUAUUUACAAUGAUAUUGCCAGUCUAAAGA